GUUGAUUCUGCCAGUAGUCAUACGCUCGUCUCAAAGAUUAAGCCAUGCAUGUCUAAGUAUAAACGACUUUGUACUGUGAAACUGCGAAUGGCUCAUUAUAUCAGUUAUAGUUUAUUUGAUAGUCCCUUACUACUUGGAUAACCGUAGUAAUUCUAGAGCUAAUACAUGCAUCAACGCCCGACUGCUUCGGCGGAAGGGUCGUGUUUAUUAGAUUGAAAUCAAUGCGGGGGCAACCCCGGUAUUGUGGUGAGUCAUGAUAACCGUGCGAAUCGCAGGGCCUCGUGCCGGCGAUGGAUCAUUCAAGUUUCUGCCCUAUCAGCUUUGAUGGUAGGGUAUUGGCCUACCAUGGCAUUAACGGGUAACGGAGAAUUGGGGUUCGAUUCCGGAGAGGGAGCCUGAGAGACGG
rnacentral:rRNA from 1 species